rnacentral:rRNA from 1 species
CCUACGGGAGGCAGCAGUGAGGAAUAUUGGUCAAUGGACGAGAGUCUGAACCAGCCAAGUAGCGUGAAGGAUGACUGCCCUAUGGGUUGUAAACUUCUUUUAUAUGGGAAUAAAACAGGGUAUGCAUACCCUCUUGUAUGUACCAUAUGAAUAAGGAUCGGCUAACUCCGUGCCAGCAGCCGCGGUAAUACGUAGGAUCCGGUCGUUGUCCGGAUUUAUUGGGUUGAACGGGAGCGUAGGUGGAUUGUUAAGUCAGUUGUGAAAGUUUGCGGCUCAACCGUAAAAUUGCAGUUGAAACUGGCAGUCUUGAGUACUGUAGAGGUGGGCGGAAUGCGAGGUGUAGCGGUGAAAUGCUUAGAUAUCACGAAGAACUCCGAUUGCGAAGGCAGCCCACUGGACUGCAACUGACACUGAGGCUCGAAAGUGUGGGGAGCAAACAGGAUUAGAUACCCGGGUAGUC